rnacentral:rRNA from 1 species
UACGAAGGGGGCUAGCGUUGCUCGGAAUUACUGGGCGUAAAGCGCACGUAGGCGGCUUUCUAAGUCGGGGGUGAAAUCCUGGAGCUCAACUCCAGAACUGCCUUCGAUACUGGAGAGCUCGAGGCCGGGAGAGGUGAGUGGAAUUCCCAGUGUAGCGGUGAAAUGCGUAGAUAUUGGGAGGAACACCAGUGGCGAAGGCGGCUCACUGGACCGGUUCUGACGCUGAGGCGCGAAAGCGUGGGGAGCAAACGGG